AUUAUUGUUGGGUGCUAAAUACCAACACGCAAGUGUACGUAUCGCAAACAAGUAGUAAAGUAGACUCGUGAGAGUCGGAUGUCGAUCCCACAGGGAAUACGCAAAUUAUUUAAUCCUAAGUACCAAAUCCUAACAAUUGUGAUUUUUAUCCAGCCUACGCAGGGUUGUCAAAUUAAUUAACUAAAUAAAUUAAACUAAUUAAGAA
rnacentral:lncRNA from 1 species